GACGAACCGUGCGAACGUUGUUCGGAUUCACUGGGCUUAAAGGGCGCGUAGGCGGGUCGCUAAGUCCGGGGUGAAAGCCCCCAGCUUAACUGGAGAAGUGCCUCGGAUACUGGCGGCCUCGAGGGGGAUAGGGGCCCGCGGAACUUCGGGUGGAGCGGUGAAAUGCGUUGAUAUCCGAAGGAACGCCGGUGGCGAAAGCGGCGGGCUGGAUCCCUUCUGACGCUGAGGCGCGAAAGCCAGGGGAGCAAACGGG
rnacentral:rRNA from 1 species